rnacentral:lncRNA from 1 species
AGCCUUUCCCUGGUGGCUAUCCCAGGGCAGGGGGCCCAGGGAGAACCUCUUGUUAAUUUCCAACUGCCUUUUGCUCUAUUGUAUAGUAUUCCAGUGACAGAAUCCACUCAAGAGAGUUGGGACCGAGGUUAUCAAGGAGCUGAGUUCUGAGUUCAGGUGCCCACGUGGCAGAGGAAUGACGCCUCCUGGCCCUUCAGACCUUUGAGACGGCCGGGAGGCCCUAGAAAUCACCUCAAGUCUCCAGUCCAGGACACAGCUGCCUAGGGGAGUCCCAGGGAAAGGCGGCAGGUAGUGUAUCCUCUCUGCGUUUUCUUCUCUUGUUCCCCCCCCCCCCCCAAUCCCUCCUCUGUGUGUGUGUCUGCUAUGUAUGAUCCCACACAGAACAACAUUCCAUGGGUCACUGAUGCCCGGGGACUUAUUCUAUGUUCUUAUCAACAGAGAUUGCAUGGCCCGUGGCGGACUCCAGCGCAACCUCUGCGGAAUCUACCUGAUUCCAAACCACUGGCACUUCCGGCGCGCAAAGCCCCUUGCGGAGAGGAGGCAAGAGAAGCCAGCUGGGAAGAGA